rnacentral:rRNA from 1 species
ACUCCUACGGAAGGCAGCAGUGGGGAAUAUUGGACAAUGGGCGAAAGCCUGAUCCAGCCAUGCCGCGUGAGUGAUGACGGCCUUAGGGUUGUAAAGCUCUUUCGCCAGGGACGAUAAUGACGGUACCUGGAUAAGAAGCCCCGGCUAACUUCGUGCCAGCAGCCGCGGUAAU